CAGGUUGACCUCGGAUCAGGUAGGACUACCCGCUG
rnacentral:rRNA from 1 species